UUAAUUGAAACCAAAGGAGAGGUAUGUCACUGUUAAUGACAAAACUGUAAUAUUUACCAAUUAAA
rnacentral:tRNA from 1 species